UCGUCGGCGUCGCGUACGCGAUCUAAACAGUAUUUCGAUGCGAGGAAAGGAUGGGAGGCGGAGAGCGGACUGUGAUAUACGGGACCGUAGCGUCGACGUCGAAAAUGUUGUGUGUGUUGUGUAGUUGUUGUAGUUGUGAUGUUGUGAGAUGUGGUGUACUAGCGGCGCGCACUCCGACCGUGCGGCCGUGUUGUAGUACUUGUGUAUACCCCCCGCCAUUCGUUUGUUUCUUGACUUGGGGCUGAAGGAGGCUAUCGCGCGUGUUGUGGGAAGAGUGG
rnacentral:misc_RNA from 1 species